CUUUGCAUUACAUACAUGAUAAAAACAUCAGGAAAUUAAUGUACACUGCAGCUAAUCUCUGCAUUAUUUAUCCCUUUUAAUUUACUGCUUAGUCUUUGCAAAAAAAACCUCCACAUAAAUAAGGUAUUUAAAUAAUAAUUUUUCAACUAUAACAUUCCGUUUAUUAAACUGUGCAUCAGAUGAGAAGGAUGGGGUGACACUAAGAGCUAAUCAAACAGCAGCUUGGGUCCUAUGGCUGAUAACUGUCAGGAGAAGGGAAAUUAUCACUCAUCCUGAUUUCUGACUAAGCAGUGCUUCCACCAGCCUCGUAAAGAGCAUGGCAUGACUCUGCACUGGUGGGUAAGAGGAUGGUUGGGCAUGGCUUGAAAACUGCACUUCACGAGAGGCACCUUCAUUUAUAUCCACUCCAGGUUAAUUCAGCGCUGGAAUGGAGUGUCAUUUAGUCCAAGCAAUGCCAACACAGGUGUCACAGACCCUGUGAUUCAGAGGUGUUACUCUGUACAGUGAGCACCAAACAGGCCAAGUUGUGGUGGAGUGUGGGGCACCAAAACCAGCAAAAACAGCACAGCAGGUUCCUGUCACAUGUGAGGAAUAGCCAAGUGUCAGGGGGAGAACAUUUCUCAUGCACACAGCUGACAGCGUGCAAAUGUCUGCAAAGCUCCAGCCAGACCCUGGAAGAACACCCCCCCCCAGAAAUAACCUGAUGGAUCUGGAAGCAAACUAGAUGAGUAAGACUGAGAACGUGUUCACAGCCAUCCAUUGUCACCAAGGCUGUGCAGCAGACCGUCACAUUGUGCCACAGCCUGUGAUACAGCUACGGCAACAAGGCUCCUCUCCUGAUGGCAGACAGAUCUCUGGUGGAACUGCUGAACUGGGGACAGAAGACAAUACAAGAGAGGCAAGUUUAUACCUGCCACAGCUUCAAGGGGAUGCAAGGAUGGUGAAAACUCACAGAGAGUUCCUCCCUGGUUUCUUUCUCAGACUGGUGAUUAUUCUGUAAUUUUUCUUUCAAAUAAAACUGCCAGUGUUCAUUGAAAUAAUUGAUUU
rnacentral:lncRNA from 1 species